GAGUGAACGCUGGCGGUAGGCCUAACACAUGCAAGUCGAACGGCAGCACAGUAAGAGCUUGCUCUUACGGGUGGCGAGUGGCGGACGGGUGAGGAAUACAUCGGAAUCUACUUUUUCGUGGGGGAUAACGUAGGGAAACUUACGCUAAUACCGCAUACGACCUACGGGUGAAAGCAGGGGAUCUUCGGACCUUGCGCGAUUGAAUGAGCCGAUGUCGGAUUAGCUAGUUGGCGGGGUAAAGGCCCACCAAGGCGACGAUCCGUAGCUGGUCUGAGAGGAUGAUCAGCCACACUGGAACUGAGACACGGUCCAGACUCCUACGGGAGGCAGCAGUGGGGAAUAUUGGACAAUGGGCGCAAGCCUGAUCCAGCCAUACCGCGUGGGUGAAGAAGGCCUUCGGGUUGUAAAGCCCUUUUGUUGGGAAAGAAAAGCAGCAGGUUAAUACCCCGCUGUUCUGACGGUACCCAAAGAAUAAGCACCGGCUAACUUUGUG
rnacentral:rRNA from 1 species